CCUACGGGAGGCAGCAGUGGGGAAUUUUGGACAAUGGGGGCAACCCUGAUCCAGCAAUGCCGCGUGAGUGAAGAAGGCCUUCGGGUUGUAAAGCUCUUUUGUCAGGGAAGAAAAGGUGUUUCUUAAUACGGAAUACUCAUGACGGUACCUGAAGAAUAAGCACCGGCUAACUACGUGCCAGCAGCCGCGGUAA
rnacentral:rRNA from 1 species